rnacentral:rRNA from 1 species
UGGGGAAUUUUGGACAAUGGGGGAAACCCUGAUCCAGCCAUCCCGCGUGUGCGAUGAAGGCCUUCGGGUUGUAAAGCACUUUUGGCAGGAAAGAAACGUCAUGGGUUAAUACCCCGUGAAACUGACGGUACCUGCAGAAUAAGCACCGGCUAACUACGUGCCAGCAGCCGCGGUAAUACGUAGGGUGCAAGCGUUAAUCGGAAUUACUGGGCGUAAAGCGUGCGCAGGCGGUUCGGAAAGAAAGAUGUGAAAUCCCAGAGCUAAACUUUGGAACUGCAUUUUUAACUACCGGGCUAGAGUGUGUCAGGGGGAGGUGGAAUUCCGCGUGUAGCAGUGAAAUGCGUAGAUAUGCGGAGGAACACCGAUGGCGAAGGCAGCCUCCUGGGAUAACACUGACGCUCAUGCACGAAAGCGUGGGGAGCAAACAGG